UGGGGAAUAUUGGACAAUGGGCGAAAGCCUGAUCCAGCCAUGCCGCGUGUGUGAAGAAGGUCUUCGGAUUGUAAAGCACUUUAAGUUGGGAGGAAGGGCAGUAAGCUAAUACCUUGCUGUUUUGACGUUACCGACAGAAUAAGCACCGGCUAACUCUGUGCCAGCAGCCGCGGUAAUACAGAGGGUGCGAGCGUUAAUCGGAAUUACUGGGCGUAAAGCGCGCGUAGGUGGUUUGUUAAGUUGGAUGUGAAAGCCCCGGGCUCAACCUGGGAACUGCAUCCAAAACUGGCAAGCUAGAGUACGGUAGAGGGUGGUGGAAUUUCCUGUGUAGCGGUGAAAUGCGUAGAUAUAGGAAGGAACACCAGUGGCGAAGGCGACCACCUGGACUGAUACUGACACUGAGGUGCGAAAGCGUGGGGAGCAAACAGGAUUAGAUACCCUUGUAGUCCCUGAGCGGGCUGGCAAGGCGCAU
rnacentral:rRNA from 1 species